rnacentral:rRNA from 1 species
UUAAGCGACUAAGCGUACACGGUGGAUGCCCUGGCAGUCAGAGGCGAUGAAGGACGUGCUAAUCUGCGAAAAGCGUCGGUAAGGUGAUAUGAACCGUUAUAACCGGCGAUGUCCGAAUGGGGAAACCCAGUGUGAUUCGUCACACUAUCGUUAACUGAAUACAUAGGUUAACGAGGCGAACCGGGGGAACUGAAACAUCUAAGUACCCCGAGGAAAAGAAAUCAACCGAGAUUCCCCCAGUAGCGGCGAGCGAACGGGGAGCAGCCCAGAGUCUGAAUCAGCUUGUGUGUUAGUGGAACGGUCUGGAAAGKCCGACGGUACAGGGUGAUAGUCCCGUACACCAAAAUGCACAGGCUGUGAACUCGAAGAGUAGGGCGGGACACGUGGUAUCCUGUCUGAAUAUGGGGGGACCAUCCUCCAAGGCUAAAUACUCCUGACUGACCGAUAGUGAACCAGUACCGUGAGGGAAAGGCGAAAAGAACCCCGGCGAGGGGAGUGAAAAAGAACCUGAAACCGUGUACGUACAAGCAGUGGGAGCACCUUCGGGUGUGACUGCGUACCUUUUGUAUAAUGGGUCAGCGACUUAUAUUCUGUAGCAAGGUUAACCGUAUAGGGGAGCCGCAGGGAAACCGAGUCUUAACUGGGCGUUAAGUUGCAGGGUAUAGACCCGAAACCCGGUGAUCUAGCCAUGGGCAGGUUGAAGGUUGGGUAACACUAACUGGAGGACCGAACCGACUAAUGUUGAAAAAUUAGCGGAUGACUUGUGGCUGGGGGUGAAAGGCCAAUCAAACCGGGAGAUAGCUGGUUCUCCCCGAAAGCUAUUUAGGUAGCGCCUCGUGAAUUCAUCUUCGGGGGUAGAGCACUGUUUCGGCUAGGGGGUCAUCCCGACUUACCAACCCGAUGCAAACUACGAAUACCGAAGAAUGUUAUCACGGGAGACACACGGCGGGUGCUAACGUCCGUCGUGAAGAGGGAAACAACCCAGACCGCCAGCUAAGGUCCCAAAGUCAUGGUUAAGUGGGAAACGAUGUGGGAAGGCACAGACAGCCAGGAUGUUGGCUUAGAAGCAGCCAUCAUUUAAAGAAAGCGUAAUAGCUCACUGGUCGAGUCGGCCUGCGCGGAAGAUGUAACGGGGCUAAACCAUGCACCGAAGCUGCGGCAGCGACACUAUGUGUUGUUGGGUAGGGGAGCGUUCUGUAAGCCUGCGAAGGUGUGCUGUGAGGCAUGCUGGAGGUAUCAGAAGUGCGAAUGCUGACAUAAGUAACGAUAAAGCGGGUGAAAAGCCCGCUCGCCGGAAGACCAAGGGUUCCUGUCCAACGUUAAUCGGGGCAGGGUGAGUCGACCCCUAAGGCGAGGCCGAAAGGCGUAGUCGAUGGGAAACAGGUUAAUAUUCCUGUACUUGGUGUUACUGCGAAGGGGGGACGGAGAAGGCUAUGUUAGCCGGGCGACGGUUGUCCCGGUUUAAGCAUGUAGGCUGGUUAUCCAGGCAAAUCCGGAUAAUCAAGGCUGAGGUGUGAUGACGAGGCACUACGGUGCUGAAGUAACAAAUGCCCUGCUUCCAGGAAAAGCCUCUAAGCAUCAGGUAACAUCAAAUCGUACCCCAAACCGACACAGGUGGUCAGGUAGAGAAUACCAAGGCGCUUGAGAGAACUCGGGUGAAGGAACUAGGCAAAAUGGUGCCGUAACUUCGGGAGAAGGCACGCUGGUGUGUAGGUGAAGUCCCUGCGGAUGGAGCUGAGACCAGUCGAAGAUACCAGCUGGCUGCAACUGUUUAUUAAAAACACAGCACUGUGCAAACACGAAAGUGGACGUAUACGGUGUGACGCCUGCCCGGUGCCGGAAGGUUAAUUGAUGGGGUUAUCCGUAAGGAGAAGCUCUUGAUCGAAGCCCCGGUAAACGGCGGCCGUAACUAUAACGGUCCUAAGGUAGCGAAAUUCCUUGUCGGGUAAGUUCCGACCUGCACGAAUGGCGUAAUGAUGGCCAGGCUGUCUCCACCCGAGACUCAGUGAAAUUGAACUCGCUGUGAAGAUGCAGUGUACCCGCGGCAAGACGGAAAGACCCCGUGAACCUUUACUAUAGCUUGACACUGAACAUUGAGCCUUGAUGUGUAGGAUAGGUGGGAGGCUUUGAAGCGUGGACGCCAGUCUGCGUGGAGCCAACCUUGAAAUACCACCCUUUAAUGUUUGAUGUUCUAACGUUGGCCCCUUACCGGGGUUGCGGACAGUGUCUGGUGGGUAGUUUGACUGGGGCGGUCUCCUCCCAAAGCGUAACGGAGGAGCACGAAGGUUAGCUAAUCCUGGUCGGACAUCAGGAGGUUAGUGCAAUGGCAUAAGCUAGCUUGACUGCGAGCGUGACGGCGCGAGCAGGUGCGAAAGCAGGUCAUAGUGAUCCGGUGGUUCUGAAUGGAAGGGCCAUCGCUCAACGGAUAAAAGGUACUCCGGGGAUAACAGGCUGAUACCGCCCAAGAGUUCAUAUCGACGGCGGUGUUUGGCACCUCGAUGUCGGCUCAUCACAUCCUGGGGCUGAAGUAGGUCCCAAGGGUAUGGCUGUUCGCCAUUUAAAGUGGUACGCGAGCUGGGUUUAGAACGUCGUGAGACAGUUCGGUCCCUAUCUGCCGUGGGCGCUGGAGAAUUGAGGGGGGCUGCUCCUAGUACGAGAGGACCGGAGUGGACGCAUCACUGGUGUUCGGGUUGUCAUGCCAAUGGCACUGCCCGGUAGCUAAAUGCGGAAGAGAUAAGUGCUGAAAGCAUCUAAGCACGAAACUUGCCCCGAGAUGAGUUCUCCCUGAGACUUUAAGUCUCCUGAAGGAACGUUGAAGACGACGACGUUGAUAGGCCGGGUGUGUAAGCGCAGCGAUGCGUUGAGCUAACCGGUACUAAUGAACCGUGAGGCUUAACCUU